rnacentral:rRNA from 1 species
UACGAAGGGUGCAAGCGUUACUCGGAAUUACUGGGCGUAAAGCGUGCGUAGGUGGUUCGUUAAGUCUGUCGUGAAAGCCCCGGGCUCAACCUGGGAAUGGCGAUGGAUACUGGCGGGCUAGAGUGCGGUAGAGGGUGGUGGAAUUCCCGGUGUAGCAGUGAAAUGCGUAGAGAUCGGGAGGAACAUCUGUGGCGAAGGCGGCCACCUGGACCAACACUGACACUGAGGCACGAAAGCUAGGGGAGCAAACAGG